rnacentral:tRNA from 1 species
GGGACCGUGGUCUAGUUUGGUAUGAUGCAGGUUUCGGGAAUCUGUGACCCGAGUUCAAAUCUCGGCGGUCCCA